ACGCUCGACACCUACGGGAGGCAGCAGUUGGGAAUAUUGGACAAUGGAGGAAACUCUGAUCCAGUGACGCCGCGUGAAGGAAGAAGGUCUUCGGAUUGUAAACUUAUUUUGUCAGGGAAGAAAAAAUGACUGUACCUGAAGAAAAAGCACCGGCUAACUACCGUGCCAGGAGCCGCGGUAAUCUGAGCGGCUGGCAAGGC
rnacentral:rRNA from 1 species